GUAGUACCAAAAUGUUAUUCUCAUUAUAUUCAAGCUUCAAUAUACGAAAGCAAUUGAACUAAUAGAGGUGGGUUCGAACACGGGGAAAGACUGGUUAUAUGAAUUGAAUCUAUUAGUGUCACAAUUGACUGUACUCUAGCUAUCUAAAAUCAAUUAUCAAACUACAAAAUACCAAGGCUUACUACUUCCCUCUUAAUUCAAUCCAUAAUCCAUUCUACGACUAUCAAUUCAACAAUACUUCUAUAUUCUUAUCACUUCAUCUUCCACUUAUUCUCUUUGCAGUUUAUACAUAUUCAAUUACUGAUCUCCAGCUUACUUAUUAUAUUCAAUUUCUUAAUUCAUCACAUAGAAUUCAAUAUCUUCACUUAAUACAACAUAAUUUGAUAAUCUCAAUUCUCAAGGUCACAAAUUUUCUCCAAACCGGUCAAUCCAAAGUCAUAUUCUACAAUAUUCUAAUCACGAUUUCAACAAUACUUCUCUCAAUCACAAUUCUUCAUAAGCAAAUAAU
rnacentral:lncRNA from 1 species